rnacentral:rRNA from 1 species
GACGAACGCUGGCGGCGUGCCUAAUACAUGCAAGUUGAGCGCUGAAGGUUGGUACUUGUACCAACUGGAUGAGCAGCGAACGGGUGAGUAACGCGUGGGGAAUCUGCCUUUGAGCGGGGACAACAUUGGGAAACGAAUGCUAAUACCGCAUAAAAACUUUAAACACAAGUUUUAAGUUUGAAAGAUGCAAUUGCAUCACUCAAAGAUGAUCCCGCGUUGUAUUAGCUAGUUGGUGAGGUAAAGGCUCACCAAGGCGAUGAUACAUAGCCGACCUGAGAGGGUGAUCGGCCACAUUGGGACUGAGACGCGGCCCAACCUCCUACGGGAGGCAGCAGUAGGGCAUCUUCGGCAAUGGACGAAAGUCUGACCGAGCAACGCCGCGUGAGUGAAGAAGGGUUUCGGAUCGUAAAACUCUGUUGGUAGAGAAGAACGUUGGUGAGAGUGGAAAGCUCAUCAAGUGACGGUAACUACCCAGAAAGGGACGGCUAACUACGUG